UGGGGAAUAUUGCGCAAUGGGGGGAACCCUGACGCAGCCAUGCCGCGUGAAUGAAGAAGGCCUUCGGGUUGUAAAGUUCUUUCGGUAUUGAGGAAGGUUGAUGUGUUAAUAGUACAUCAAAUUGACGUUAAAUACAGAAGAAGCACCGGCUAACUCCGUGCCAGCAGCCGCGGUAAUACGGAGGGUGCGAGCGUUAAUCGGAAUAACUGGGCGUAAAGGGCACGCAGGCGGUUAUUUAAGUGAGGUGUGAAAGCCCCGGGCUUAACCUGGGAAUUGCAUUUCAGACUGGGUAACUAGAGUACUUUAGGGAGGGGUAGAAUUCCACGUGUAGCGGUGAAAUGCGUAGAGAUGUGGAGGAAUACCGAAGGCGAAGGCAGCCCCUUGGGAAUGUACUGACGCUCAUGUGCGAAAGCGUGGGGAGCAAACAGGAUUAGAUACCCUGGUAGUCCACGCUGUAAACGCUGUCGAUUUGGGGGUUGGGGUUUAACUCUGGCGCCCGUAGCUNACGUGAUAAAUCGACCGCCUGGGGAGUACGGCCGCAAGGGUA
rnacentral:rRNA from 1 species